rfam:Thalassospira alkalitolerans strain JCM 18968 contig43, whole genome shotgun sequence.
AUAAGAUGGUUACCUUACACUGAAUACAUAGGUGUAAGGGGCGAACCAGGGGAACUGAAACAUCUAAGUACCCUGAGGAAAAGAAAUCAACCGAGAUUCCCUUAGUAGUGGCGAGCGAACGGGGACUAGCCCUUAAGUGGCUUUGAGAUUAGCGGAACGCUCUGGAAAGUGCGGCCAUAGUGGGUGAUAGCCCUGUACGCGAAAAUCUCUUAGUCAUGAAAUCGAGUAGGACGGAGCACGAGAAACUUUGUCUGAAUAUGGGGGGACCAUCCUCCAAGGCUAAAUACUACUGACUGACCGAUAGUGAACUAGUACCGUGAGGGAAAGGCGAAAAGAACCCCGGAGAGGGGAGUGAAAUAGAUCCUGAAACCGUAUGCGUACAAGCAGUGGGAGCCCACUUUGUUGGGUGACUGCGUACCUUUUGUAUAAUGGGUCAGCGACUUAUUUUCAGUGGCGAGCUUAACCGAAUAGGGGAGGCGUAGCGAAAGCGAGUCUUAAUAGGGCGUCUAGUCGCUGGGAAUAGACCCGAAACCGGGCGAUCUAUCCAUGGGCAGGUUGAAGGUUGGGUAACACUAACUGGAGGACCGAACCGACUACCGUUGAAAAGUUAGCGGAUGACCUGUGGAUCGGAGUGAAAGGCUAAUCAAGCUCGGAGAUAGCUGGUUCUCCUCGAAAGCUAUUUAGGUAGCGCCUCAUGUAUCACUGUAGGGGGUAGAGCACUGUUUCGGCUAGGGGGUCAUCCCGACUUACCAAACCGAUGCAAACUCCGAAUACCUACAAGUGCCGAGCAUGGGAGACACACGGCGGGUGCUAACGUCCGUCGUGAAAAGGGAAACAACCCAGACCGUCAGCUAAGGUCCCAAAGUUAUGGUUAAGUGGGAAACGAUGUGGGAAGGCUUAGACAGCUAGGAGGUUGGCUUAGAAGCAGCCACCCUUUAAAGAAAGCGUAAUAGCUCACUAGUCGAGUCGGCCUGCGCGGAAGAUGUAACGGGGCUCAAACCAUACACCGAAGCUACGGGUAUCACGUAAGUGAUGCGGUAGAGGAGCGUUCUGUAAGCCUGUGAAGGUGAGUUGAGAAGCUUGCUGGAGGUAUCAGAAGUGCGAAUGCUGACAUGAGUAACGACAAUGGGUGUGAAAAACACCCACGCCGAAAGACCAAGGUUUCCUGCGCAACGUUAAUCGACGCAGGGUUAGUCGGUCCCUAAGGCGAGGCUGAAAAGCGUAGUCGAUGGAAAACAGGUUAAUAUUCCUGUACUUCUGGUUAUUGCGAUGGAGGGACGGAGAAGGCUAGGCCAGCUUGGCGUUGGUUGUCCAAGUUUAAGGUGGUAGGCUGAGAUCUUAGGUAAAUCCGGGAUCUUAAGGCCGAGAGCUGAUGACGAGUUAUCUUUUAGAUGACGAAGUGGUUGAUGCCAUGCUUCCAAGAAAAGCUUCUAAGCUUCAGGUAACCAGGAACCGUACCCCAAACCGACACAGGUGGUUGGGUAGAGAAUACCAAGGCGCUUGAGAGAACUCGGGUGAAGGAACUAGGCAAAAUGGCACCGUAACUUCGGGAGAAGGUGCGCCGGUGAGGGUGAAGGACUUGCUCCGUAAGCCCAUGCCGGUCGAAGAUACCAGGCCGCUGCGACUGUUUAUUAAAAACACAGCACUCUGCAAACACGAAAGUGGACGUAUAGGGUGUGACGCCUGCCCGGUGCCGGAAGGUUAAGAGGAGAUGUGCAAGCAUUGAAUUGAAGCCCCGGUAAACGGCGGCCGUAACUAUAACGGUCCUAAGGUAGCGAAAUUCCUUGUCGGGUAAGUUCCGACCUGCACGAAUGGCGUAACGAUGGCGGCGCUGUCUCCACCCGAGACUCAGUGAAAUUGAAAUCGCUGUGAAGAUGCAGUGUAUCCGCGGCUAGACGGAAAGACCCCGUGAACCUUUACUAUAGCUUUGCACUGGACUUUGAAUUUGCUUGUGUAGGAUAGGUGGGAGGCUUUGAAGCGUGGACGCCAGUUCGCGUGGAGCCAACCUUGAAAUACCACCCUGGCAACUUUGAGGUUCUAACUCAGGUCCGUUAUCCGGAUCGAGGACAGUGUAUGGUGGGUAGUUUGACUGGGGCGGUCUCCUCCUAAAGAGUAACGGAGGAGUACGAAGGUGCGCUCAGACCGGUCGGAAAUCGGUCGUAGAGUAUAAAGGCAAAAGCGCGCUUGACUGCGAGACAGACACGUCGAGCAGGUACGAAAGUAGGUCUUAGUGAUCCGGUGGUUCUGUAUGGAAGGGCCAUCGCUCAACGGAUAAAAGGUACUCCGGGGAUAACAGGCUGAUACCGCCCAAGAGUUCAUAUCGACGGCGGUGUUUGGCACCUCGAUGUCGGCUCAUCACAUCCUGGGGCUGAAGCCGGUCCCAAGGGUAUGGCUGUUCGCCAUUUAAAGUGGUACGCGAGCUGGGUUUAGAACGUCGUGAGACAGUUCGGUCCCUAUCUGCCGUGGACGUUUGAGAUUUGAGAGGGGCUGCUCCUAGUACGAGAGGACCGGAGUGGACGAACCUCUGGUGUUCCGGUUGUCACGCCAGUGGCAUUGCCGGGUAGCUAUGUUCGGAA